rnacentral:rRNA from 1 species
UACGUAGGGUCCGAGCGUUGUCCGGAAUUACUGGGCGUAAAGAGCUCGUAGGUGGUUUGUCGCGUUGUUCGUGAAAACUCACAGCUUAACUGUGGGCGUGCGGGCGAUACGGGCAGACUUGAGUACUGCAGGGGAGACUGGAAUUCCUGGUGUAGCGGUGGAAUGCGCAGAUAUCAGGAGGAACACCGGUGGCGAAGGCGGGUCUCUGGGCAGUAACUGACGCUGGAGGAGCGAAA